UAUCCUUUUAUCUUUAAGAAAAUCCUAAACAAAUUUCUUGACUAAUUAAUAGCCUAAACCACUCAAAUUUUCAUCUCUUAAUCCCCAUUCUCUUCUCUCUCCAACUCUAAGGAAAAUCAAAGUAAAUGAUUUCAUUCAAGAUUCUUUUUCAAGAUUCAAGUUCUUAGGAUUCUCAACAACAGUCCAUUGAGAUCACUUCAUAUGAUCGUCAACUUUUGAGUAGGCGAUGUGAAAGAAAUGUGCACUAAAAGGAGAAAAGGAAGCAACAUAGAAACCUAAGGAGGGAAUGGAGCAAAAUGAAGUUGAAGAAAUGCCUCAAAGGCAUUUACGUGCUACCUCCGCGUCGCGAGGCAAGAAGAGCAACUGUAAUCCUCAAAUUAAUUUCGAAGCAGAAGACCUCGCGUUACCUCCGCGUCGCGCAAAAAGCUUCCUCUUUGGAUCCAAAGAAUCAAAUGCUUAUGCGUCGCGCGCCUGAAGCCCAAAAUUGGUCGAAUCGACUUUAGUAUAAAUAGGGUUGUAUUUUAGUUUUAUUAAUUAUUCUUUUUCUUAUUUUCGAAGGGGAAAAACAGGAUCACAACUUUGUAAGUUUUUAGGGUUAUAUUCAGUCCUUUCAUCUUUUAUCUUUAAACUUUUCGAAUGAUUCACAUACAUUUGGAAGAUUGAUUUGAUGAUUAUGAGUAGCUAACUACCCUAGUUCAAGGGUUGUGGCUACAGAUGAAUGGAAUUUGUUGAAUUUGUUAAUGGUUUUGCUAUGAGUUAUCUAUGAUUCGUUCUUAUAUUUUUUCUCUUUGUAUUUCAUGAUUGGCCACCAUAGAAAUAAAUUUAUUGUCCAAAUUGAACACGAGAGAGGAAUAAGAGAAUAAAACAUGGAAUAUAAGAAGUUCGGUUGACUCUAAAUGACUAGGGUUAA